GAUGAACGCUGGCGGCGUGCCUAAUACAUGCAAGUCGAGCGAACAGACGAGGAGCUUGCUCCUCUGACGUUAGCGGCGGACGGGUGAGUAACACGUGGAUAACCUACCUAUAAGACUGGGAUAACUUCGGGAAACCGGAGCUAAUACCGGAUAAUAUAUUGAACCGCAUGGUUCAAUAGUGAAAGACGGUUUUGCUGUCACUUAUAGAUGGAUCCGCGCCGCAUUAGCUAGUUGGUAAGGUAACGGCUUACCAAGGCGACGAUGCGUAGCCGACCUGAGAGGGUGGUCGGCCACAUGGGAACAGAGACACGGCACAGACUCCUACGGGAGGCAGCAGUAGGGAAUCUUCCGGAAUGGGCGAAAGCCUGACGGAGCAACGCCGCGUGAGUGAUGAAGGUCUUCGGAUCGUAAAGCUCUGUUAUUAGGGAAGAACAAAUGUGUAAGUAACUAGGCACGUCUUGACGGUACCGAAUCAGAAAGCCACGGCUAACUACGUG
rnacentral:rRNA from 1 species